rnacentral:rRNA from 1 species
CCUACGGGUGGCAGCAGUGGGGAAUAUUGCACAAUGGGGGGAACCCUGAUGCAGCGACGCCGCGUGGGUGAAGAAGUAUUUCGGUAUGUAAAGCCCUAUCAGCAGGGAAGAAAAAUGACGGUACCUGACUAAGAAGCACCGGCUAAAUACGUGCCAGCAGCCGCGGUAAUACGUAUGGUGCAAGCGUUAUCCGGAUUUACUGGGUGUAAAGGGAGCGCAGGCGGCACGCUAAGCCUGAUGUGAAAACCCGCGGCCCAACCGCGGGAGUGCAUUGGGAACUGGCGGGCUGGAGUACCGGAGGGGCAGGCGGAAUUCCUGGUGUGGCGGUGAAAUGCG